GCUGGACAUGGUGAUGCGCACCUGUAAUCCCAGUAUCUUAGGAGGCUGAGGUAGGAGGAUCACAAGUUCAAAGCUAACCUUGGUAAAAACAAGGCACUAAGCAACUCAGUGAGACCCUGUCUCUA
rnacentral:sRNA from 1 species